UGUACUUUGAUUCCCUGGGCGAACCAAAGAAAAAGAUCCUGAGACCAGCGUAAUAUUCCUGCCUAGCAAGCUAAACAGAAAAUCACACACAUUUUAGGUGCUCACUGUAAUAAAACAGCGAUGCGACCCAUUACCACAUAAACAAAUGUUAUGUGUGGGUUUGUGAUGAUACUGAAGCAGGCGUACUCUAUAGAAAAACCAUAGAGUGCAAGCUGCGUUCAAAGACUCGAUGAUUCACUGAAUAUGCAAUUCACACUAGUUAUCGCACUUUGCUACGUUCUUCAUCGAUGCGAGAACCAAGAGAUCCAUUGUUAAAAGUUGUUUUUAUUAAACUUUAUAAUACUGAAUUUCUAGGUUUAUUAUGAAGGGUGCUCCUGGAAACCCAGGAGUGGCAUCAAUCAAAACUCCAGAUAGGUCUACCCAUGACCAGUCUGAGUCUCUCAGCCAAAUUUUCACAGUUGUAGAAGCAAUCACUUAACCCCAGGGAAACCCUGAUGGUAAGGCGGCUUUAACAUAAUUAAUAAUCCUUCCGGCAGGUUCACCUACGGAAACCUUGGUUACGACCUUUUUACUU
rnacentral:misc_RNA from 1 species